ACGGGAGGCAGCAGUGGGGAAUAUUGGGCAAUGGGCGCAAGCCUGACCCAGCAACGCCGCGUGAAGGAAGAAGGCUUUCGGGUUGUAAACUUCUUUUGUCAGGGAAGAGUAGAAGACUGUACCUGGCGAAUAAGCCACGGCUAACUACGUGCCAGCAGCCGCGGUAAUACGUAGGUGGCAAGCGUUAUCCGGAUUUACUGGGUGUAAAGGGCGUGUAGGCGGCUCUGCAAGUCAGAAGUGAAAUUCCCGGGCUCAACCUGGGCGCUGCUUCUGAAACUGCAGAACUUGAGUACUGGAGGGGAAAGCGGAAUUCCUAGUGUAGCGGUAAAAUGCGCAGAUAUUAGGAGGAACACCGGUGGCGAAGACGGCUUUCUGGACAGUAACUGACGCUGAGGCGCGAAAGCGUGGGGAGCAAACAGGAUUAGAUACCCUGGUA
rnacentral:rRNA from 1 species